UACGGGGGGGGCAAGCGUUGUUCGGAAUUACUGGGCGUAAAGGGCUCGUAGGUGGCCAACUAAGUCAGACGUGAAAUCCCUCGGCUUAACCGGGGAACUGCGUCUGAUACUGGAUGGCUUGAGUUCGGGAGAGGGAUGCGGAAUUCCAGGUGUAGCGGUGAAAUGCGUAGAUAUCUGGAGGAACACCGGUGGCGAAGGCGGUUCUCUGGGCAUGAUCUGACGCUGAGGAGCGAAAGUGUGGGGAGCGAACAGG
rnacentral:rRNA from 1 species